AGUGAACGCUGGCGGUAGGCCUAACACAUGCAAGUCGAACGGCAGCACAGUAAGAGCUUGCUCUUACGGGUGGCGAGUGGCGGACGGGUGAGGAAUAUAUCGGAAUCUACUUUUUCGUGGGGGAUAACGUAGGUAAACUUACGCUAAUACCGCAUACGACCUACGGGUGAAAGCAGGGGAUCUUCUGAGCUUGCGCGAUUGAAUGAGCCGAUGUCGGAUUAGCUAGUUGGCGGGGUAAAGGCCCACCAAGGCGACGAUCCGUAGCUGGUCUGAGAGGAUGAUCGGCGACACUGGAACUGAGACACGGUCCAGACUACUACGGGAGGCAGCAGUGGGGAAUAUUGGACAAUGGGCGCAAGCCUGAUCCAGCCAUACCGCGUGGGUGAAGAAGGCCUUCGGGUUGUAAAGCCCUUUUGUUGGGAAAGAAAAGCAGCAGGUUAAUACCCCGCUGUCCUGACGGUACCCAAAGAGUAAGCACCGGCUAACUUCGUG
rnacentral:rRNA from 1 species